GAAAGGGGCUCAUGUCGUGAGUGACACGUAGGGCAGCGUGUUUGCUCCAAGUGCGGAAUCGACGUCAGGAGAUUUCGGAAGCAUAAUUUUUGUUGUUUGGGCAGCUGGUGAUCUUUGAUCCCAGCAGAAAA
rfam:Erinaceus europaeus unplaced genomic scaffold scaffold00222, whole genome shotgun sequence